AUGGUGAUGCUUAUUACAUGCUUCAAGGACUGGUAUCUAUUCUCAGGGUCCACAUCAGCUAAUGCAGAUUUCAAGUCAAUGGAUUUUUUUUAAUCAAGAU